UCUCAUUCUUAUCCGCCCCUCCAUCUGCUCUCUCUCUGGAUUCAGAUCUAGGGUUUUGAUUUCAGAGGUAAAGAUUGAAUCAUGAAGAUUUCUCCCAGAUCCGAUUUUGGUCUCGCAGAUCUGAUGUACCUCAGCUUCUGGACAUCAUCUUUACCAAGGUAGUUAGUUAUUAAAUGUUCAUAUGGCUGGCUGGCUGGCAUUUCAAGUAAUCAUCCACAAUUUGUGUGAAUCAUGAAGAUUUCUCCCAGAUCCGAUUUUGGUCUCGUAGAUCUGAUCUGAGAUCUGAGAUAAUCUCACCAGUGCAUGGAUCAGUACACAUUUGGAAAGCCCGAGCAUUAAAAACCUGCAAUUGCAAAGCUUGAGAUGUAUUAGCUUUUGGAAAGCUUGAGAUGUAUUCCUUUUUCUUAAACCUAUACAGUCAAGACAAAUAUUGAAGACAGUUUCAAGUUUGGCUUUAUUGCUGCUGAUAAAAGAAAAAUAACUGCUACAACUUGGGUACCCAUACUGGCAAUUAGAAUUACGUCGUGGUCACAUACGAAAGGUUAAAAGGAUAGGUAAAAAAGUAAGAAUGGUUGACUUUGAUUAGUGAAACUGAGCCAUUUCAACUCACUAGACCUUGAAGUUGAACCCAACUAUAUUAUUAAUCUUGUUUUUUGAGUAAAUAUGUUGGAGAGGAACAAGAGAGAGGAAGCUUGGAGAGGCUGGUUUGAAUCUAAUGGGCAAAACAUCUACUUUUAGCAUACAAUGGAGGAUUCUGAUGUUCUUAUGAUUUGGCUUCGUGUGAGCAAUGGUGGUUGCUUCGGAAUCAUGAAAAGGCAGCAAGCCUGCAUCAAGUGGAUGCAUGUUUCUCUACAAGUGAAGUAAAGACUUGCAGCAGUUACUGAAUACUGCAAGUCCUUUUCUUGUGAUCUCAGGCAACGGCUGACAUCUUAGUAGUGGUUUUAUGUGCUUCAAUACUAUUUGGUCAGUGAUGCCAGUGAUUGGCAUUCGCAGCAUUUUUGAGAAAUUUUCAAUGAAAACGACAUUCAACAAGAGAGUUUCGAAAUAUCAAUUGGACAUGGUUUUUAUA
rnacentral:lncRNA from 1 species